UCUUCUUCCCCUUCUGAGAAGAGGCGACCUAAAAUGUAGCGACAGGAUGAAGGAUGAUACCAAGACUCAUCUGACAGGUGGAGGGACCAUCGUAAUCUGGAUGACACAGCAGGUUGAGGAACACCUCCCAUCAUCUCCAUCCAAACCACUGCAGGAUCUUAAGCCAGGCAACUGGAACAUGAUAAAGACUCCGGGCAGCAAGCGAAGGAAAAUUUGCCUCCUGGUAGGUCCACACCAGGAGCUGCAAACAUCUGACAUAGAUGUCAGGACUGCUGAAGGACCAACCUGGUUGGAUAGCAGCCAAUUUAAGAAGCUGUCUUAAUAUCAUGACUGUUCUUUAACAAUUGCUCCAUAGUAUAAAUAAUAUUUAAUGUCUGUGAUGGGUUCUGGGUGUGUCAGCAACAAUAAACACUUUCUGCUUGCUUUGAGGCUGUCCAAUUUCUUAGUAAUGGUAUUGAUUCCUUAACCAUUCGAAUUUCCAUCCUCUGAUUUGCUGGUCAGAGCAAAAUUGUUAGAGGAACCAGGAACUGUAGACCAUGUCCUUGUUGGUGGAUGUCCAAAAUUUGUCGGACAGCAAAGGCUGCUGUUGAUCACACUGGGGAAAGGAGGGGGGCAGGAAGGCAGAACGAGGUCCAACUAGGACACCGGCUUCCGCACAGACACUUGGAAUGUUGGACACAGCUUGAGGGAAAAAGGCAACUUGGAAAGGGUGCACGGGCGAUGAGUUCAACAUCUGGUCGACUGCGAAAGGUCUGAGAAACUGCAGAGCCAGUUUGGACGAUUCUACCCGAAAGGGAAGGUCUUGAGAGGACCACCGCUGAAUGUAAACAUCCUCCCUACAAAAUUGUGGUGCUUGUUCAAGGACGGUGACAGUGACACCAUCGUCUGGAACCAACAAGGAGAUGGGAUCAUCAUCAAUAAGGAUCUAAUGGAGAAGGAGUUUUUGUCUUUGAAUUACUUCGAAGCUUCCAGUUCCUCGAGUUUUGGACGACAGCUGAAUUUGUAUGGCUUCAAGAAAUCCAGGCCUUUUAUUAGAGACAAGCC
rnacentral:lncRNA from 1 species